rnacentral:lncRNA from 1 species
GAUUCUCCCACCUCAGCCUCCUGAGUAGCUAGGACUACAGUAAUUUGUCUAGAAAUGACAGUGUAAUGCCACUCUGGUCAAUGAGACCUAAGAGGAAGUCUACUGGAAGACAUCUGGGAAAGAUUUACCAUCCUGAAAAAAGACAUGAUCAUGACAUCUUGCAGAAAAGAGGAAGAGAGAAUUUCUAGGACAAAUGGCUUGUUUUUUACAUUAGAGAUGAACCAAAAGUUGCACACUUCACCUCUGCUCACAUCCCAUCCUUCUUAAUCAUAUAGCCACAACUUGCUUCAAGUGAGACUGAAAAUACAGUCCCUAAUGGGGGAAGAGGUGAUGACCAUGUGUACAGCCUAAGUUUUUUUUAAGAAAAAAAAAA